rnacentral:rRNA from 1 species
GACGAACGCUGGCGGCGUGCUUAACACAUGCAAGUCGAACGGUAAGGCCCCAUCUUGCUGUGUUUCACGUGUCGCGAACGUGUGUGUAACACGUGCGUGCCCUCCCCUUCACUUCGUGAUACGCCUGGGACACUGGGUCUAAUACCGUAUAUGACCAUUUUCUCGUUACUGUGUUGUAAAGUUUUUUCGGUUGGGGAUGGGCCCGCGGCCUUUGAGCUUGUUGGUGGGGUAAUGGCCUACCAAGGACGGGAAGGGUAGCCGGCAUGAGAGGGUGAACGGCCAAAUUGGGACUGAGACACGGCCCAGACUCCUACGGGAGGCAGCAGUGGGGAAUAGUGCACAAUGGGCGGAAGCCUGAUGCAGCGACGCCGCGUGGGGGAUGAAGGCCUUCGGGUUGUAAACUGCUUUCACCAGGGACGAAGGGAAAGUGACGGUAGAUGGAGAAGAAGCACCGGCUAACUACGUG